UCAUCUCCUGGUGCCUGUCCCGGUCUCUCCUCUGCUACUUCCUCUCUCAUGAUGCGUCUGCCCCUGCCCUGCUCUCAUCAUGUACUUAUGUACGUGUGCACCGGCCAAGGCGGACGCCCUGGUCGCCGUAGGAGAGCGCCUCACGGACUCCGGCCUUCAUUGCUGCAGCCUCCAACGUGGCCUUCACCACGGUCAGCAACCCCGACGUCUUCCGCUGCGCUUUGGCGGUGGACUGCCCACACGAAGAUGCACGGAGGGUGGCGAUGCGUGCAACGGCGGAUGCUUCCUCGGGGACUUGCCAUGGAUGGCGCAGCUCGCCGCCGUGGCCUACAUGGUGGAUGAGCUCCGAGGGUGCUUCGCUGGCAGACAGAUGAAGGAGGUCCGGCGUCGGCUGGUGGAAUACGCUACCAGCGGAGGCACAGCGAUGGCGCCCUCCUCUCCAUGCUCCCCGGCUUCGCAGCUUCAGGUCUAUACUAACGGAGGUGACAGUCCCCGACAACAACGACGUAGGGUGGCAUCCAAUGACGGGGCGCCGGGGAUCUUGGCCGGCAGGAGGUCGAGGAGGGAUGCGGCUAGCGGCGUCGAGCGCGAUGUACGAUUGGACGACACGGGACGCCGGCAGCCUGAACUGGCACGAGCUUGAGGCAUCAGCGACAGGAGCUGGGCGCGAGCGGCGUCAUGACCAGUUGACCACCAUUGACGAGCUGCUCCUCUCUACGGUUGGCGUUCCUUUACGCUGAUGCCCACCGCCACCUCUGCUGCCUGCGGCGACGCGCUUGCUCCUCCGCCGUGGCCACAGACUCGCAGAGGGAUUAGGUCACGCUGGUGAGUCUCUUGGACAUGCGCCCUGCGCCCAUUGUGAUGCGUUGCAUGCAUGCUUGUGGUUUGGGGGGCUACUGCUGGGUCUGCGUUCGUGCGCGGCUUGCAUGUGUUUUUCUGCGUGCAUGUGUGCUGUAUGCAGGGCUUGAUGCCAUUGUUUGCUACCUAUGUGCUGGAUUCAUUAAAAAAACAUGAGGGAUGCUGGAUUCAUUAAUUUGAUACUACUGUAACCCGUUUAAUGUCCAGCUAAUCUUUUGGUGAUUUAUUAGCUAAAGGCAAAAGUCUAAAAAAAACCUUGAUUUUGUUCUUCAAGUCUGAAUCAAACCUUGAACUGAGAAUCCCUGAAAUCAUCACCCUGUGUUUCUUAAUCCCGGUUAAUCCCAGCCCAUUAGUGCUAAUAGCUGGUUUGGGCGUUGGGAUUGCUGACGUGGCUAGGAUUAGGGUUAACUGGACGCGACGAUGAACUGACUGCGGGCCUCUUAAUCACAUAAGGUGCAGCGGCGGGGAAAGAACAGAGCUUUUUAUUGACGGGCAAAAACAGAGCUUCAGCAGGGGAACCAAAUUAGGGUCCGUCAGUAGGCUGGCUGGCUGGCGGCGACGGCGGCGGCGGCGGCGGCGGCGGCGACGGCGGCGGCGGCAACGACGGCGACGGCAACGGCGGCGGCUGCAAUCGGCGAUGUCUUCCUCCUCCCGCGUGUCGUAAUCAGGCGGAGGUCGCGGGCGUAGGGCUCCAUCAAGGUCGCCCGUGCAAGAAGUCUCCUCCCUGAAAGAUACUAGUGCUGCGUCCAUGAAAUUUGGCAUAGUGAUCCCUGCUCCCCAAUCCUUGCAGAAUUACUGCUCGAUCUCAGGGCUGCAAUCAGGAGGUUUGAAGCUGCAGGUGGUGAUGACUGGCAACCAUGAUUGGAACAGGGCCAAAGAAUUGGAACAGAGGAUGCACUGAGUCAACAAGUUCUGGAGAAGAAUGCAGAGAUUGAACCAAAAAUGUUAUUGGCAGGUGUAUUUACAGGAUUUGUACUGCAUUAAUAGCUAGAAGAAAAAUGUAAUGCCAAAAUCUUGUAAUGGCUGAAUGAUGUAAUGGUUGGAUGAUGUAAUGAUAUUCCAUGCUGCUAUUUAUGUGGUAAUUGAUGGUUCAUUUUGUUA